GGCGUCAUAGAGGGUGAGAAUCCCGUACGCGACCGAUCGCCCACCCCGUGUGAGGCCCUUCGACGAGUCGAGUUGUUUGGGAAUGCAGCUCUAAAUGGGUGGUAAAUUUCAUCUAAAGCUAAAUACGGGCCGGAGACCGAUAGCGCACAAGUAGAGUGAUCGAAAGAUGAAAAGCACUUUGGAAAGAGAGUCAAACAGUACGUGAAAUUGUUGAAAGGGAAGCGCUGGCGACCAGACUUGCCCGCGGGUGAUCAUCCGCCCUCGGCGGUGCACGCGCCCGCGUCAGGCCAGCAUCGGUUCUGGCGGCCGGACAAGGGCCCGGGAACGUGGCUUCCCUCGGGGAGUGUUAUAGCCCGGGCCGCCAUGCGGCCAGCCGGGACCGAGGACCGCGCUCCGGCUAGGAUGCUGGCGUAAUGGUUGUCAGCGACCCGUCUUGAAACACGGACCAAGGAGUUGAACAGUUGUGCGAGUGUUUGGGUGCCAAACCCAUGCGCGCAAUGAAAGUGAACGCAGGUGGGAACCCGGGCGCACCAUCGACCGAUCCUGAUGUCUUCGGAUGGAUUUGAGUACGAGCACAACCGUUCUGACCCGAAAGAUGGUGAACUAUGCCUGAAUAGGGUGAACCAGAGGAAACUCUGGUGGAGGCUCGCACGGUUCUGACGUGCAAAUCGAUCGUCAAAUUUGGGCAUAGGACUAAUCGAACCAUC
rnacentral:rRNA from 1 species